rnacentral:lncRNA from 1 species
GCAAGGCAACUCAAACUUGAAGACAUGGAGUCCCCAAGGAGAACCACUUUGUGCUUUGUGAUUAUUGCGAUUUAUUCUUCCCAAGCUACACUGAGUUUGAAUUUAGAGUCUAUUGUUUAUCAUUCGCUUCUCCAUGAACAUGAGCUAAUGGAGGAGGACCCAGUAAGACCAAAACGAGCUGUUGCCGUAAGCAGCCAUGCAGCUCAAGAGUUCACCGUCGAUGUUGAGAUCAGUUUUGAAAAUGCCUCCUUCCUGGAGCCUAUUAAAGCUUACUUGAACAACCUCAGUUUUCCAAUUCAAGGGAAUGACACUGACCUAGCUACCGAUAUUUUGAGCAUCGAGGUGUCAACAGUCUGUAGACCUAACGGAAAUGAAAUCUGGUGCUCCUGUGAGACAGGCUAUGAGUGGCCUCAGGAAAGUUGCCUCCACAAUCUCACUUGCCAGGGACAUGAUGGUUCCUCUGCAGGGCAUCACUGCCAUUGCCUUAAGGGACUGCCUCCCAAGGGACCUUUCUGCCAGCUCCAGGGAGAUGUUAUCCUGAGAAUGUCGGUCAGACUCAAUGUGGGCUUUCAAGAAGAUCUUAGGAACUCUUCCUCUGCCCUGUAUAAGUCCUACACGACUGACCUGGAAACAGCGUUCUGGAAGGGUUACAGUAUUUUACCAGGCUUCAAAUUGGUGACAGUGACAGGAUUCAGGCCUGGAAGUGUGGUUGUGACGUACGAAAUCACCACAACAACAACAACAUCACCUGCGUUAAUGCAUAAAGCGAACGAGAAAGUCACACAGAACCUCAAUCAGACCUACAAGGUGGACAGCAGUUCCUUUCAGGUUACUUACAGCAAUGAAACGAAAUUCUCCAUCACACCAGAAAUCAUCUUUGAAGGAGAUACAGUAACCCUGACGUGUGAGAAUGAAGUGUUUUCCACCAAUGUGUCCUGGAUGCACGUGGAAACGGGCCUCGACAUCCAGAACAGCACUGAAGUCUCCAUCUACACCUCCAUGCUCAACAACAUGACCUCCGUGUCGCGCCUUAUUAUCCACAACAUCACUCGGGUUUACAUGGGUGAAUACAUUUGCAAACUGACAUUAGAUAUUUUUGAAUAUGCAUCCAGAAGAAAAUUGGAAGUUAUACCCAUCCAGAUACUGGCAAGUGAAGCUGUGGAGGUGAUGUGUGACAACAAUCCUGUGUCUUUGAACUGCUGCAGUGAGGUGAAUGUGAAUUGGAGUCAAAUUGAAUGGAAGCAGGAAGGGAGUAUAAGCAUUCCAGGAAAUGCUGAAAUAGACACAGACAGUGGCUGCAGCAGAUACACCCUCAUGGCCAAUGAGACUCAGUGUCCGAGCGGGUCGUCUGGAACGACAGUGGUCUACACGUGUGAGUUCAUCAGUGCCCACGGAGCCAGAGGCAGAAAGGACAUAGAAGUGACAUUCAUCUCUGUAGGAGAUAAUUCCAGCCACAAAGGGGAAGUGCGCGAAUCCCAAAGGCUUGUGAUGGAAAUGAGUACAGUUCAGAGCACCACCAAGAACAGCCUAGAAACAAGUAAAGCCCCGGAGCAGCAAGCCAAGCUAAACAUAACCCCGGACCUAAUUUCUGUUUCUGAGGGACAAAGCUUUUUUAUAAAGUGCAUCAGCGAUAUGAGUAACUAUGAUGAGAUGUACUGGAACACUUCUGCUGGAGCUAAAAUAUACAAAAGGUUUUAUACCACGAGGAGGUAUUCGGACAGAGCAGAGUCGGUGCUGACAGUGAAGACCUCAACCAGGGAGUGGAAUGGAACCUAUCACUGCGUAUUUCGAUACAAGACUUUGUACAGGGUCAUGGCCAAAGAUGUCAUCGUGUACCCGCUGCCUCUAGAGUCCAACAUCAUGGUUGAUCCUGUGGAAGCUGCAAUUCCAUGCCGAAGCUCCCGUCACAUCAGAUGCUGCGUUGAGGAAGAUUCAGACUACAAGGUCAUUUUUCAAGUGGGUUCCUCGUCUUUUCCUGCUGUAAAAGAGGUUGAUGAAAAGCAAGUGUGCUACAAACACCAUUUCACGGCAGACUCAGUUUCCUGUCCAGAAAACGUGGAUGUGUUUUGCCACUUUACCAAUGCCGCUAAUAAUUCAGUCCAGAGCCCGUCUAUGAAGCUUAACCUGGUUCCUGGGGAGAGCAUCACUUGCCAGGAUCCUAUCCUAGGUGUUGGGGAGCCUGGGAAAGUCAUCCAGAAGCUUUGCCAGUUCUUGAACAUUACCAGAAGCCGUGAGAGUCCUGUUGGAGGGAUCAUAACUUAUAGAUGCGUGGGUUCCCAGUGGCAGAUCGAGAAAAAUGACUGCAUCUCUGCUCCAAUAAAUGCUCUGCUCCAGCUGGCCAAGGCUUUGGUUAAGAGCCCUACGCAGGAUGAGAAGCUCCCGUCCUACCUAGGGAAUCUUUCCAUUAGCACAAAGCAAGCGAAACUUGAAGUCGACUCAUUUUCUGGGACCCUGGGAGCUAUUAUUAACAUUCUGGACCUGUUCUCAACAGUUCCAACCCAAGUGAAUUCAGAAAUGAUGACGCACGUCCUCUCCACGGUCGAUAUCAUCCUUGGCAAGUCUGCCUUGAAUACCUGGAAGAUGUCACAGCAACAAAAAACCAAUUAUAGCUCGCAGCUAUUGGAUUCAGUGGAAAGAUUUUCCCGAGUUUUAAGGGCAGAAGACAGCACCAUCUCCCAACCUAACGUGCAGAUGAAGAGCAUGGUCAUAAAACCUGGCCACCCCCAAUCGUACAGGCAGAGCUUUGUCUUCUUAGACUCUGACCUCUGGGGCAACGUGACCAUCAGUGGAUGCCAGCUGGAGCACCUGCAGCCAGAUUCGUUUGUCGUCACCGUGGCUUUCCCAACUCUCAAAACCAUCCUCGACCGGGAUGUUCUGGGAGAGAAUUUUGCCAACAGCCUGGUGAUGACCACCACCGUCAGCCGCAGAAUAACCACACCAUUCAGGAUUCUGAUGACUUUCAAAAACAGCCACCCUUCGGGCGGGAUACCGCAGUGUGUCUUCUGGAACUUCAACCUAGCCAACCACACCGGGGGGUGGGACAACAGUGGGUGCUAUGUGAAAGAAGUCACCGAGGACAGUGUGUCCUGCAGCUGUGAACACCUCACCUCCUUCUCCAUCCUCAUGUCCCCCGACUCCCCAGACCCCGACUCGCUCCUGAAAAUCCUGCUGGAUAUCAUUUCCUACAUCGGGCUGUGCUUUUCCAUCUUGAGCUUAGCGGCCUGCCUCGUCGUGGAGGCCGUGGUGUGGAAAUCGGUGACCAAGAACCGGACCUCCUCCAUGCGGCACACCUGCAUCGUCAACAUCACCGCUUCCCUGCUGGUGGCCGACGUCUGGUUCAUCGUGGCCGCCGCCAUCCACGACCAUCGCUUCCCGCUCAACGAGACGGCCUGUGUGGCCGCCACCUUCUUCAUCCACUUCUUCUACCUCAGCGUCUUCUUCUGGAUGCUGACCCUGGGCCUCAUGCUCUUCUACCGCCUGGUUUUCAUCCUGCACGACACAAGCAAGUCCAUUCAGAAGACGAUCGCCUUUUCCCUGGGGUAUGGCUGCCCUCUGGUCAUCUCAGUCAUCACGGUGGGGGCCACCCAGCCCCGGGAGGUCUACAUGAGGAAGAAUGCCUGCUGGCUCAACUGGGAGGACACCAAGGCCCUGCUGGCCUUCGUCAUCCCGGCCCUGAUCAUCGUGGUGGUGAACAUGACCAUCACGGUUGUGGUCAUCACCAAGAUCCUGAGGCCUUCCAUCGGGGACAAGCCGAGCAAGCAGGAGAAGAGCAGCCUGUUCCAGGUCACCAAGAGCAUUGGGGUCCUCACGCCGCUCCUGGGGCUCACCUGGGGUUUCGGUCUGGCCACCGUGUUCCAGGGGAGCAACGCCGUGUUCCACAUUGUGUUUACGCUCCUCAAUGCCUUCCAGGGAUUAUUCAUUUUACUCUUUGGAUGCCUCUGGGAUCAGAAGGUGCAGGAAGCCUUGCUGAAUAAGUAUUCACGGUCAAAAUGGUCUUCACAGCACUCAAAGUCAACAUCCAUAGGUUCAUCUACACCUGUAUUUUCUAUGAGUUCUCCAAUAUCAAGAAGAUUUAACAAUUUGUUUGGUAAAACAGCAGCCCCAAGGGCUCCCCCAGGCAAUGAUGGAAACCCUGUUAGCCGUGGCAGUCCGCCCAUCUGAUGGAACAUACAAUGUUUCCACCCCCGAAACAACCAGUUCAUCCCUGGAAAACACGUCCAGUGCUUAUUCAUUGCUCAACUAAGGACAGGAAAAUCCAGCCCAUGGGACCUCUUGGGAAACAGUGGAUGUGCUCUGCAAAAGAGAUCCUUUCCAAGCCGUGGAUAACAUGUUUUUUCUACAGGCCUCUGGGAGCAGAUGCUUAAGAGACUUUUUCAUGAAGGAAGAGGCUUUCUUUUGUAAAGACAGACCAAAGGAAAUUGUUGCAUUUAUGUUGCUGCCCCACCCCUGUCUCCUGUGUGAUACCAAAUGUGUAUAGUAUUUAAUUGAAACUCAUGCCAACUUCUCUGUCUAUAUUGUAAAGUAGAAUUUCAGAGACAUUUUUCCUUUUCACACCCUGGGCCCAAAGAUAAGCUUUGAUUAAAAUAAUAAGUAAAAGGCCAGGACUUAGGAAACUCUUCAGUGAAUUCUAGGAAGGAAAGAUGGAAGAGAGGAAGAAAGAAAGGAGAGACAGAGGAAACUACCAGGAAAAAAUAUAGAGAAUAACAGAAGGACCACGUGUUAAGAUUUCUAUGUUAAUGACCCACUACUUUUACUACUCAGAUAAUGCAACACUGAAAAUUAAAAAUGUCUCCAAAAUGAAAACUGAAAAUUAGCCAUGGAGAAAGUUGAAUAUUUUCCUGGUGUUUUCUUAGCUAAGAGAGAUCAAAAAAGGAAAAAAAAAAAAAAGGCAAUGAAAAAAUAGGGAGGAAAUUAUAUCGUCAAGAUGCUUUUAAGUGAAUGAUGAUAUUUACAAGAAUUUCACAGAAGACAGGACUCUCCUUAUGCUAAACACAUACGUAUGUGUUACUGUGUGUUAAGGUUGAAGCUAAGAGGAAUGAAUGGACAGAGGAAGUGUGAUUAGAUUAUUAGAUCCCAGCUGACCACCUGCUGAUUACAUUUUUAUUAUUAAUAGUUUAGCAGAACAGCCUUAGGUUUUGGUUUGUUCCACUCUUUGUAAGCAAAAAUAUAUAUAUUUGUCUAUCCAUUCAUUUCCAAAUGUGAUAUAUUGCACUGAAAACAGACCCUCCCAACUGUCAUGAAUUAUAUUUAACAGCUUUAACCAGGUACUUUUCUGUGCAUGCUAGAAAAGAUUUUAAUGAUCUUACAGUGUUGUACAUUAUUAUUUUUGUAGUUACUGUGGAUUGAGAGGCCCUGGAUGUGCUGUAUAGCUCUGUGUUAAUUCUUUCAGUUCCUAAGUUCCCAGACCAAUAUACAUUUGGAGUUUUCUGCUGUCUAAAUGGCAUUUAUUCUAACUACUUAGAAAUCUUCUGGAAAAGCUCUACAGCGGGCUAGUCUGUGCUCCUAAUGACACUUUACCUUGAUGAACAGAUGGUGCAGAUUGUUUGUGAACUAUGUGCAUGUGUGUGUUUCACCUGUGUGUGUGCAUUUCAUAAAAAUAUAAUAUAAAUAUUUAUUAAAAUAUUAUCCAUAGCAAAGUUUACCCUGUGCUGUAGCUACAGCAACCAAAUAUUCCAAAUCAAAGUCUGAUCCUAGGGCCAUAAUGAAAUAGAAUAAAAAAUGUGGGACUUCUCUGAAAAUACGGGCA